CUGGAAGAGGACUGGCAGUGUUCUGAAAAUGAACUACAAAGCUGCCUUUUACCCUGACAUCGAUCUGUGAGUAUGAUACAAGCAAAGUUACUUAAGUGUUAGACCAAUGAAACAAUUAAAAAAAGUCCUUAAACCUCCCUUACCAAUUACCAGUACGUAUGACACCACACAUGCACUUUUUUAUUGUCUCUUAAAAAUGCUCAAUUAAAUGCUUCAGACUGAAUGCAAAAGAAAGCAGAUUGAUUUUGGAGAGCAAUAGUUACACAGUGGAAAAAAGUGUCAAAUAUAAUGUCUUCUGAUAUUUUCCUUUUUAGGUAUGAUGGAGACACAUUUGUGUGUAGUGUUGAUGCAAACUUCAUAGUGUGGGAGAAGUUUGGUCGAAAAGACUACUAUUUUAAUGCAACCAUGCGUCAGGUAAUAUGUAUCAGGCAUAUACAGUAUGUGUGCUUGUUAUUACGUUGUUUCAGAAACACAAACCACCCUUUUGGCUCAAAAGGUAGCCUGCCUUCAUGAGGCACAAACAUGGAAAUCUAUGCUCGCUGACAGGAAGCAUCCUGAAGAGGCCUGGGGACCUCAUGGAGUAUAAUUUACAGUUUUAGUUUCAAUUUAGUUUAUAUAACCUUGGGUUUCUCCUAGAAGAUAUGUGCAAUCAUCUGGUUUAUUAACAGUGAAAUAAAAGGGAAUGUGUUUCAUAUCUUUCAGAAUUACAGGAGCUGUUUUGUUCAGACUUAUAAAAAAAUUGGAAUCCUUGACCAACCCUAUGAAAUUAUGAAUAGAAGUUUCAGAAAUGACCUAUGUUUUUCACUGAAAGAUAGUGCUACUUAUAUCUUUAUUGUAAAGAUUCUGGAUGCAAAUUACAGCUUUGAUCUUAGUGCUGUGUUUGCUGUCCAAUCAUAUGGAAUCAAAAUACAGGACCAGCUCUUGCCCAUGUAUGUGGUUUUGAUCCUUACCUUCAUCACACUCAUCAUGCUGUGUCUUGUCUUCUACAAAUAUGUCACUGUCUUUCGAAACAUGCUUUGGAAAAAACAUUUGUGAAUGAUUACUAAGAAUAUAGUUCAAUAAUAGUGUAUUUAGUUUCAGAUACAGUCCGUUUACUCUUAAUGUCACAUCACACAACCAAUGUAUGUUUAUUUGUGGGGUUUUUUCCCCAAAA